ACGUGUGUGUGUGGCGUGCACACAUGCUCAUGCCUUUGACUUCCUGUUCCUACACCAACGCCACUCAGGGUGUGGAUAGAUGAUGACAGUCAUCAAUUCUAGGUAAGUUGCGCUCUCUCAGUACCCUGGGCCUGAAGAUAUGGAAAGCAACUAGAGGAAAGAGGAGACGCAAUAGAAUCCAAGUAUCAGGGAUUAGGGGCUGAGCAAGAGUGAAGUGUUGAAAUGAUAGAAGAGGAGCUCUGGAACACUCGCUGAGUACUGAAAUGUUCUUAGUUUAAUUUUCUCCUUUCCCUGUGAUUUAUGCUCCUUCUCAACUUUGCUCGUCGUCUCUUCUCUUUCCAUUUCAUUUUCUCUCUGUUCCGGCAGAAUUGUAGGUGCUGUGAUCGCCGACAGUCUAAGCCUGUCCGGGGACCAGUGCACACUCCUCCCAGCCCCCUCUGCUCCCCACACAGUUGUCGGUGCAGCCCUGUCCCGUUGCUCCGCACAGCUCUCCAGAGUGGAAGAAGCAGGAGGGAACGGUGCUAGGUGGAUGGUGGCGAAUGGUAGACUUGUUAGGCAGUGGUUGGGUCGUGAUACCCAUCAAUUGGGUAAGAUGCAUUCUGCUACAUGUGAGGAGGAUCAAGAGGGGUCUGUUCUCAUUUGUGCCUUAGAGUGAGUGACUGGUUAAGUAUUAGAUCUGAUUUUAAAUGUGUCCCAUGAAGAGGUUGAAUGUCCCAAGAACAAGCUUUAAGUCUCCACAGGCUAAGGAGGGCUCCUUGCCUGUGCAUUUUAAGGCAGAGCCCUGCCUGUAUGCGCAGGUAUACCAUGAGCUUUCUUAAGAGGCUCACCUUUUGCCUGUUCAAAACAGAAAAGAGCAACAUCAAAAAUAGGAGGACAAGGUAAACAAUGAAAAGAACAAAAUUGACCCAGGAAGAAAGUGUGAACUUGGCACCAGGAACAGCCACAUAAUUUGUAGAGCCCAGUGAAGAAAAUUAUGGGUCCUCUUGUUAAAAAAUUAUUAAAGAUUUCAAAAUGGCCGCAGUCAAGCAUUAAACCAGGACACAGACUUAUGAGCACAGGGCACUCUGGGACUGCACAGAUCAUACACCUGGGAAGCAGGUCUUCCCUGCUUAGAACUCAGAACAAUUUUGAAUAAAUAUCUAUGGUUUAUCCCUUAGAGAGAUUCAAAAUGAUAAUCCUUUCCACAAAACAAGAAUAAAACAAAAUAAAGAAAAGAAGAAAUGGAAAACAAGAAACAACUUGUGAAAUUUAAAUACAUUUAAAGAUGCACCAAAGCUCUCUUGUAGUCCUCAAAUUUGGCCCAAAUCUGCUGAUUGGCUUUGUUUUCAACCUUGGCCUUUGAAAAGCCAAAAAGGUAAAUGCCUGCUUCCAAGUAUUUUUGGUAUUUCUGAGCUUAUGUAUGAGAAGUGAUUGGGUCCCCAUGAACUCUAAUUGUCAUAUCAAUACCAAUAAAGAAACAGGCCAUGCCAUUCAGAUUUGUCAUAUUUGAAUAUUUACUUCCCUUGGAGGCAUUCUUGAGUGUCUCAUAUGUUGAAAUUCUAUUAGUAAUUAAAAUAGAAAUACUUAUUAUUUCAAGUGUAAUAUUCUACAAUACAAAUGAUGACUCUAUAAAUUAGUAUUUUUAUGAAAAAGCUCUGUAAAUUAGUAUUUUUAUUAUUUUCAAGGAUUUAAUGUGAGAAGUGAAUCAGCUAUCAAUUGAAUGUAUUUUUUACAAUAUUAUUGACUAUAUUCCCUAUGCUGUACUUUCAUCCCCGUGACUAAUUUAUCUGAUAAUUGGAAAUUUAUACCUCCUUACCCCCUUCACAUUGGCCCAUCUCCCCAUUCCCCUACUCUAUGGCAACCAUAAGUCUGUCCUCUGUGUUUAGUCUAUUUCUGUUUUAUUUGUUUUGUUUUUUAGUUUCCACAUAAAAGUGAAAUCACAUCGUAUUUGUCUUUCUCUGUCUGAUUUAUUUGAAUAGCUACCAUAAAUUUAUAACCUGAAUCUAUGGAAAUGAGGGUUAGUAUAGAAUGUUAAUGUUGUAAAUAUUUAAAGCACAUUUAUAUAUUUAUAUAUUGGAGGCUCACAGCAAUCCUUUGAGGUGAGCACACAUCAUUCUGUACAGUAGUUAUUUGAGAACAUUAAGACUCAGAGAAUUUAGAUUUGACCAUUGUUACCCAGUGUGGAGAAAAUGGAUUAUUUCUAACCAGGAUUACCGCCUGGCUCUAACAGUGCCCAUUGUAUAUACAUAUAAGAGCCUGUUUGCACAUCUGUGGGAUGUUUACUAGGGACAGAGUGGCUGAUUAGUCAUGGGAUUGCUGGCCCAGGGAAGGGGUGGAGAGGAAACACCAUUCUCUCCUCUCCUCUGUUGCUGGUGUGUAAUAGGUCAGACGUCUGCCAGUUAUCAGAGACCCACCCACAGAGUUCCUCCUAGCGCGAGGGGUGAGGAAGGAGGGCAUGGCAGGGAGAGUGGGAACAGAGCCAUGGAGCCCCAGUGUCUGGAGAAUCAAGCCCGGGAGUGGGGGCAGGGAGCUUGGCAUGCAGCUGGGAGAGCAGGGAGCAAGGAGAGACGGGGACUUGCUGCUGUGAGAGUGAAUGUGAUAGCCCCUUAAAUGCCCAGCUCCUUGUCCUUGCUUUCAUUAGGUCUCACUGAAUUCAGAGGGAACUUGCACUGGGGGGGAACCCCUCCUCCCUGGGCAACACCGAGGUAAAUGGAGAUGAAACGAACUGAAUGAAAUUUUGUUGCUCAAAAUCACUCUUAUUUACUUCAUACCAUACUGUCUUUUGGGGAGAACUGUGGAUAACUCAGCUCCAAAUGUUAUCUUUAUAAAUAAAUGAGAGAGGGUAAUUUUUCUUUGAAUAACC